rnacentral:rRNA from 1 species
AGUGAACGCUGGCGGUAGGCCUAACACAUGCAAGUCGAACGGCAGCACAGUAAGAGCUUGCUCUUACGGGUGGCGAGUGGCGGACGGGUGAGGAAUACAUCGGAAUCUACUUUUUCGUGGGGGAUAACGUAGGGAAACUUACGCUAAUACCGCAUACGACCUACGGGUGAAAGCAGGGGAUCUUCGGACCUUGCGCGAUUGAAUGAGCCGAUGUCGGAUUAGCUAGUUGGCGGGGUAAAGGCCCACCAAGGCGGCGAUCCGUAGCUGGUGUGAGAGGAGGGUAGCCGACAUGGGAGCUGGGACACGGACCAUGAGCCUACGGGAGGGCGCAGUGGGGAAUAUUGGGCAAUGGGGGGGAGCCUUAUACAGCCAUCCCGCGUGGGUGAAGGAGGCCUUCGGGUUGUAAAGCCCUUUUGUUGGGAAAGAAAAGCAGCAGGUUAAUACCCCGCUGUUCUGACGGUACCCAAAGAAUAAGCACCGGCUAACUUCGUG